CCUACGGGAGGCAGCAGUGAGGACUAUUGGUCAAUGGACGAGAGUCUGAACCAGCCAAGUAGCGUGAAGGAUGACUGCCCUAUGGGUUGUACACUUCUUUUAUAUGGGAAUAAAAUGUUCCACGUGUGGGAUUUUGUAUGUACCAUAUGCAUAAGGAUCGGCUAACUCCGUGCCAGCAGCCGCGGUAAUAAGGAGGAUCCGAGCGUUAUCCGGAUUUAUUGGGUUUAAAGGGAGCGUAGGUGGAUUGUUAAGUCAGUUGUGAAAGUUUGCGGCUCAACCGUAAAAUGGCAGUUGAAACUGGCAGUCUGGAGUACAGUAGAGGUGGGCGGAAUUCGUGGUGUAGCGGUGGAAUGCUUAGAUAUCACGAAGAACUCCGAUUGCGAAGGCAGUUCACUGGACUGCAACUGACACUGAGGCUCGAAAGUGUGGGUAUCAAACAGGAUUAGAUACCCGGGUAGUC
rnacentral:rRNA from 1 species